rnacentral:lncRNA from 1 species
CGUUUGCUCUUUUGGCGAGGCAUAGAUUUGCUGUACGUGUGGCACGAGGCGACCGGCCUGCUGGCGGGAUACCAUCCUGAACACCCUGUGCCAGCAGGCCAGGUACCUAUCCGGGUCAAUUAAAGGCCUCUUGAGAAAAGGAAAAAGAAAAGUUGCUGUGAAUUUGGCAUGAAGUGACGGGCCUGCAGUUGGGCCACCUGUCCGUACUGCUUUUCCUACUGCAAUCGGGGGCGCUAUCCGACCAACAGCUUGGUGAAGGCCUCGCCUACCCGUAUGCGACCCUCGACACAUGGUGCCACCAGGCCAGGACUGCAAGGUGAACACUGCGCCGGAAUACGGAUACGGGGACCAAGCCUACAUUUUGCCCCAUCCAAUUGCGUUUGCUCUUUUGGCGAGUCACAGACUUGCUGUACGUGUGGCACGAGGUGACCGGCCUGCUGGCGCGCCAUCCUGAACACCCUGUGCCAGCAGGCCAGUUGCUGUGCAUUUGGCAUGAAGUGACGGGCCUACAGGUGGGCCACCUGUCCGUACUGCUUUUCCUACUGCAAUCGGGGGCGCUAUCCGACCAACAGCUUGGUAAAGGCCUCGCCUACCCGUAUGCGAUCCUCAACACGUGAUUCAACAGGCCGGUUGCUGUUCGUGUGGCAGGAGGAGGUGACAGGCCUACAGGUGGGCCACCUGCCCCUACUGAUUUUCCUACUGCAAUCGGGGGUGCUAUCCGACCACCGGCUUGGUGAAGGCCUCGCCUGCCCUUAUGCGACACUCGACACCUGGUGCCACAAGGCCAGGACUGCAAGGUGAACACUGCGCCUGAAUACGGAUACGGGGACCAAGCCUACAUUUUGCCCCAUCCAAUUGCGUUUGCUCUUUUGGCGAGUCACAGACUUGCUGUACGUGUGGCACGAGGUGACCGGCCUGCUGGCGCGCCAUCCUGAACACCCUGUGCCAGCAGGCCAGACUUGCUCUACGUGUGGCACGAGGUGACCGGCCUGCUGGCGCGCCAUCCUGAACACCCUGUGCCAGCAGGCCAGCUUUUUGUAGUGACCAAGGGUUUUCUUAGUGACGCACGUGGCCGAAGCUGUCAGAGUUGUGACGCGUCAUCCGAAGGCUGUAGGUUCCAUCCCCAGCUGCG